AGGAGGAACAGCCCCAGUGGCGGGGCCAGCUCUGGAGCCCUGGAGUCAGCCCCCGCAGGAACUCCGGAGCUCUCGGUCUGCAGGGCCUGGAGGCUCCGGGGCAGG
rnacentral:pre_miRNA from 1 species